AUGAUGAAUGUAAAUGAUUCUGUCAAAACAUAAUUAAUAAAUGUAAUUUCACUCAGAGAAUUUUAGUCUAUUUGCACUGGUUUAAUUCAUGAAUCCAGUGCAUGAAUAUGUGUAAAUAUAUACUGAAGAAACCAGUAACGUUUGAUUAGAGAGUCGCAUGGCUCAGUGGUACCUAGUAUCACUUUUGUGAUUAGCUCAUUAAUUAGCGACAAAAUGUGUAUUUUUGUGUUGCAAAUGACUAAUUUCUGCUUGUUUUAGGGUUUGCUCCUCAACCCGACAUCCUAGGAGAACCAUUCUUGCAUCAGAUUGGAUUUUGCUCCUCAACCCGACGUCCUAGGAGAACCAUUCUUGCAUAAGAUUGUAAGUAUUGAAUUUCUUUAUCAUUUUCUUUAAUAAGUUUGGUGAUCAACUCAUGAAUUAGGGACAAAAAUUUCAUUUUUGUGUUGCAAAAUACUAAUUUUCGCUUUACACCUAAGGCUGACCUCACAAAGGAGCUUGUUUUUGGGGUUUAGCACGUAAACGCGGCAUCCCCGUAGUAUCAGCGGACACGCUAAAGAUGUAAAAUUUAAUUCGUCGUUGCGUUAUAUUCUCUUGUCGUAAGGGAUGCACCUGUAAAAUAUGUAAUUGUACGUUUGUAAUGUCAGUAAAAUGUAACUGUUUUGUUUACAUUCUGUCAUUUCGAAUUUGUCCUUCAAUUAUAUAUAACAUGGAUCGUUACUCAUUUUUUUCCGUUCAAGGAACUAAGUUAGAAAUGCAGAAUGAGGUGAGCUAGAGCAAGAAAAAAAUACUCUAAAAUUUCAUGUUCAAUCAAUGUCUUUUAUAUGAUCGGUGGCAUUUUUGACACUUUGUUUAUGCCUUCGGUUCGGUCUUGGCUUGCGCAGCAUACUGCGCGCUGUCAUUACCGUGCCGAUUGCCGGCUAAUCAGUCGAUGGUGCGCAGUUCUGUGAGGUGCACGUGUUCUUUUUCUCCGUCAACAUUUACCGCGUCUGUUAGCAAUUAUGUUUGUUUUAAUACGCGGUAAACAUUAGAAUCGUUUGGUCAUCGACAACGGACUAAACGAUCGACUCCAGAAUUAAGAGAAUUCACCACGUGCGCGUGUGUAUGCCAGUAGCCGCCGGUCGUCGGAUCUCUUCCGUUGGGCUAUGGAUUCCAAUUGGAUUUAUUAGUCGAAAUGGUUCAAUUCGUUAGCAUAAAUCACGUGUAUAGCUCGUGUGGAAUGGUUGCCAGGACAUCAGUAAUACGAGUAGUAACAUCAAUUCUACUAACAAUUCUACUUUGUGCGCUUUGGAACUUCAUGGAUGGAACAACAAAGGAAUACAUUUGAAUUGAUAUUAUAAUACAUGUAUAUGGUUAGGUCAAUAA